rnacentral:tRNA from 1 species
GGGUUGUGUGGUGUAUCGGUAGCACGGUUCCCUUGCAAGGAACAAGAGCGGUUCAAAUCCGACACGAUCCA